GCAAGGUGGCUCAGUGGUAGAGCGCUUGCCUUGCAUGCAUGGGGCUCUGGUUCGAUUCCCCUGCA
rnacentral:tRNA from 1 species